rnacentral:rRNA from 1 species
CAGUAGCCACGGUAAUACGGAGGGGGCUAGCGUUGUUCGGAAUUACUGGGCGUAAAGCGUACGUAGGCGGCUUUGUAAGUUAGAGGUGAAAGCCCGGGGCUCAACCCCGGAAUUGCCUUUAAGACUGCAUCGCUUGAAUCGCGGAGAGGUGAGUGGAAUUCCGAGUGUAGAGGUGAAAUUCGUAGAUAUUCGGAAGAACACCAGUGGCGAAGGCGGCUCACUGGACGCGUAUUGACGCUGAGGUACGAAAGCGUGGGGAGCAAACAGGAUUAGAUACCCCGGUAGUCCCUGUCUCUUAUAC